rnacentral:lncRNA from 1 species
AGUUUAACCAAAGACAUACAGCAACUGUAGUGACACAAAACAUCAAUACCAUAUAUGGGCAGAGCCCUAAAUGUCAGAAAGUGUCAAAGAUGAUUCCAAAUUCCAAUUUGGGAACAGGACCCUCACAAAUAUGCUGACCUGUUUAGUGGAUAAUGAUAUGCUGAGAGCUGUCUUAGAGAGGAAUCCAGAGACAGUAGUCAAGAAAUUUGCCACAAUCAUCCAUUCAUCCCAUUCACAUGCAUCUACAGAAUCUUCAUUAUGUGUCAAAACUGGAUAAGUGGAUACUUCAUGAGCUCACACCACAAAAAUUUACAAUA